CCAACUAAGUUUGUUCUUGGCAUGAGCUUUUGUGUGCAUGCACACUUCUUCAGUUACACAAGUGGUAUAUCUGAAGAAGUGUGCAUGCACACGAAAGCUCAUACCAAGAACAAACUUAGUUGG
rnacentral:miRNA from 1 species